UACGGAGGGAGCUAGCGUUGUUCGGAAUUACUGGGCGUAAAGCGCGCGUAGGCGGCUUUGUAAGUUAGAGGUGAAAGCCCGGGGCUCAACUCCGGAACCGCCUUUAAGACUGCAUCGCUUGAAUCCGGGAGAGGUGAGUGGAAUUCCGAGUGUAGAGGUGAAAUUCGUAGAUAUUCGGAAGAACACCAGUGGCGAAGGCGGCUCACUGGACCGGUAUUGACGCUGAGGUGCGAAAGCGUGGGGAGCAAACAGGG
rnacentral:rRNA from 1 species